rnacentral:rRNA from 1 species
UACGUAGGGGGCGAGCGUUGUCCGGAGUACUGGGCGUAAAGCGUGCGCAGGCGGUUUUGUAAGCCAGGUGUGAAAUCCCCCGGGCUCAACCUGGGAAUGGCAUUUGGGACUGCAAGGCUGGAGUGCGGCAGAGGAGACUGGAAUUCCUGGUGUAGCAGUGAAAUGCGUAGAUAUCAGGAAGAACACCGGUGGCGAAGGCGGUGGGCUGGGCCGGCACUGACGCUGAGGAGCGAAAGCGUGGGGAGCGAACAGG